rnacentral:rRNA from 1 species
CAGCAGCCACGGUAAUACGUAGGUGGCAAGCGUUGUCCGGAAUUAUUGGGCGUAAAGGGCUCGCAGGCGGUUUCUUAAGUCUGAUGUGAAGGCCCCCGGCUCAACCGUGGAGGGUCAUUGGAAACUGUUAAACUUGAGUGCAGGAGAGAAAAGUGGAAUUCCUAGUGUAGCGGUGAAAUGCGUAGAGAUUAGGAGGAACACCAGUGGCGAAGGCGGCUUUUUGGCCUGUAACUGACACUGAGGCGCGAAAGCGUGGGGAGCAAACAGGAUUAGAUACCCCGGUAGUCCCUGUCUCUUAUAC